GACGAACGCUGGCGGCGUGCUUAACACAUGCAAGUCGAACGGAAAGGCCCUGCUUUUGUGGGGUGCUCGUGUGGCGAACGGGUGAGUAACACGUGAGUAACCUGCCCUUGACUUUGGGAUAACUUCAGGAAACUGGGGCUAUUACCGGAUAGGAGCUCCUGCUGCAUGGUGGGGGUUGGAAAGUUUCGGCGGUUGUGGAUGGACUCGCGGCUUAUCAGCUUGUUUGUGGGGUAGUGGCUUACCAAGGCUUUGACGGGUAGCCGGCCUGAGAGGGUGACCGGCCACAUUGGGACUGAGAGACGGCCCAGACUCCUACGGGAGGCAGCAGUGGGGAAUAUUGCACAAUGGGCGGAAGCCUGAGGCAGCAACGCCGCGUGCGGGAUGACGGCCUUCGGGUUGUAAACCGCUUUCGCCUGUGACGAAGCGUGAGUGACGGUAAUGGGUAAAGAAGCACCGGCUAACUACGUG
rnacentral:rRNA from 1 species